rnacentral:rRNA from 1 species
AGUGAACGCUGGCGGUAGGCCUAACACAUGCAAGUCGAACGGCAGCACAGUAAGAGCUUGCUCUUACGGGUGGCGAGUGGAGGACGGGUGAGGAAUACAUCGGAAUCUACUUUUUCGUGGGGGAUAACGUAGGGAAACUUACGCUAAUACCGCAUACGACCUACGGGUGAAAGCAGGGGAUCUUCGGACCUUGCGCGAUUGAAUGAGCCGAUGUCGGAUUAGCUGGUUGGCGGGGUAAAGGCCCACCAAGGCGACGAUCCGUAGCUGGUCUGAGAGGAUGAUCAGCCACACUGGAACUGAGACACGGUCCAGACUCCUACGGGAGGCAGCAGUGGGGAAUAUUGGACAAUGGGCGCAAGCCUGAUCCAGCCAUACCGCGUGGGUGAAGAAGGCCUUCGGGUUGUAAAGCCCUUUUGUUGGGAAAGAAAAGCAGCAGGUUAAUACCCCGCUGUUCUGACGGUACCCAAAGAAUAAGCACCGGCUAACUUCGUG